rnacentral:rRNA from 1 species
CCCGCUCCCGGUAAAACGGGACGGCCCGCCAGAGGACCCCUAAACUCUGUUUCUAUAUGUAACUUCUGAGUAAAACCAUAAAUAAAUCAAAACUUUCAACAACGGAUCUCUUGGUUCUGGCAUCGAUGAAGAACGCAGCAAAAUGCGAUAAGUAAUGUGAAUUGCAGAAUUCAGUGAAUCAUCGAAUCUUUGAACGCACAUUGCGCCCGCCAGUAUUCUGGCGGGCAUGCCUGUUCGAGCGUCAUUUCAACCCUCAAGCACAGCUUGGUGUUGGGACUCGCGUUAAUUCGCGUUCCUCAAAUUGAUUGGCGGUCACGUCGAGCUUCCAUAGCGUAGUAGUAAAACCCUCGUUACUGGUAAUCGUCGCGGCCACGCCGUUAAACCCCAACUUCUGAAUGUUGACCUCGGAUCAGGUAGGAAUACCCGCUGAACUUAAGCAUAUCAAUAAGCGGAGG